rnacentral:rRNA from 1 species
GAUGAACGCUAGCGGCAGGCCUAAUACAUGCAAGUCGAACGGUGUCUUCGGACAUAGUGGCGCACGGGUGCGUAACACGUAUGCAACCUACCUUACAUUGGGGGAUAGCCUUUCGAAAGGGAGAUUAAUACCGCAUAAGACAGUAGCUGGGCAUCCAGCAGCUGUUAAAGAUUUAUCGAUGUAAGCUGGGCAUGCGUCCAAUUAGCUAGUUGGUGAGGUAACGGCUCACCAAGGCAAUGAUUGGUAUGGGAACUGAAAGGUCAAUCCCCCACACUGGCACGGGGAUACGGGCCGGACUCCUACGGGAGGCAGCAGUAGGGAAUAUUGGGCAAUGGACGCAAGUCUGACCCAGCCAUGCCGCGUGCAGGAUGAAGGCGUUAUGCGUUGUAAACUGCUUUUAUACAGGAAGAAACGACUCUUGCGAGAGGCAUUGACGGUACUGUAUGAAUAAGCACCGGCUAACUCCGUGCCAGCCGCCGCCGUAACAC